CUUCAAGCCAUUUCAUACACGAAACCGACAAAUAUUUUUGGCGUUCCAAAUAUACAUUUUCUUCGAACAGCGCAAUUGAGAUAAAGUCUUUCGGGGAACGACCUUUUGAUGAACAACUUUUCGGUGAACGAAAUACGUGCGCUUAAAAGAAGCAAAAGAGGUCUAUUGCUCUGAAGACGGAAAGUUUGAACCCGCAAAGGAAAAUGUCAUGACGCCAGCGAAACGUGCGCUACCAACCCAGGUCAUUUCCACAUUAAGAACUGAUAAUGCUUGCAAAACAUUGUGGACCUUAAAUAGUGCUGACAUACAUGGGUGAUCACAGCUGUGCCAAGGAUACUGAAACUGAUUCAACGCCGAAAUUUGAUUUCUGUCUUUUCCUGAGACGUACCUUGACCAUCCCAGCACUAAGAUGAUAAUAAAUUCAUGUCUACUAGAUAAAGCAGUGGCGACAACAAACAUCACAAACCUUCAGGCUUGCCGACGACCGACGACAAAGGAAAAUUCAAUCUGAAUUAGUUUUAAAUAUUCAAUUGAUUGAAUUAAACUUAUCAUUUUUUUCCACAAAUAAACACAUUCCAGCAGUGAAUAUCUCUACCUAACUCAAAAGUGAAUGUUGGAUCUUUGAUCAUGUUAAUUAAAAAAUGUGUUCCCAGAACUCAUUAUAAAUUUUCCAAACUUGUUUAAACAAGAUCAUUUGGUAUUUAAUUUUAAUAAGCUUUUUGUGUAUUGCUGUAGGCUUUGAAUAAAUCUACUGCAUCACCAUGUCAGGAGGAACCUCAGUCUUUUGUUGUUGAAAUAAUAAAGAGAAAAUU